rnacentral:lncRNA from 1 species
GAAGAUUAGAGAUACUGACUUAUUCAGAUUCUGCAACUAUUAAAUGGCAGAACGUAAUCGUUACUGUGGUCAGAAAAUCCCCCUUUUAGAUGAGAUUCCAGCCCCUCUCCUAAUGCCUCAGGUUCACAAGGAAGGCAAGAGAGGGCAGAACCCAGAGGGAUGUGGUCAUGAGUGUGGGUAGGGAAAAGUGCAGGAAGCUGAGAAUAGGAUUGCUACUGAGUAUUGAUGGGAUUGCAGAGCGGUCCCAGGUAAUGCCCCUAAGUAUGCACCAUUCCCAUGAAAAAACACUCAAGCAAGCAGGGUGAACUCUCAACUCCAAAUAUUUACGUGCUAAAAUUCCUAGAAAGUGACACUGGACUCUACCUGCCGUGAAGUUCCCUAUUUGGUCUCUAACAAUUAUCUUCUGUUCACACAGGGAUCCCUGUAUCUCAAGUCUCCAUGGAGAUCCAGCCUUCAAGGGGCUGGGGAGUUGAAGGGGAGCCACUGGGCCUUGAAGGGGAGCCACUGGUCCUUGUUUGUUCUGUGGCUAAAGGCACGGGGCUAAUCAUGUUCUCCUGGCACAGGCAGGACACGAAGGAAAGUGUGGGAAGUAAAAGUCAGCGCUCCCAGAGAGUGGAGCUAGAGAUCCCUGU